rnacentral:rRNA from 1 species
AUUGAACGCUGGCGGCAGGCCUAACACAUGCAAGUCGAGCGAGCGGCGGACGGGUGAGUAAUGUCUGGGGAUCUGCCUGAUAGAGGGGGAUAAAUACUGGAAACGGUGGCUAAUACCGCAUACUAUCGGAUGAACCCAUAUUGGAUUGGCUAGUAGGUGGGGUAAAGGCUAACCAAGGCGACGAUCUCUAGCUGGUCUGAGAGGAUGACCAGCCACACUGGGACUGAGACACGGCCCAGACUCCUACGGGAGGCAGCAGUGGGGAAUAUUGCACAAUGGGCGCAAGCCUGAUGCAGCCAUGCCGCGUGUAUGAAGAAGGCCUUAGGGUUGUAAAGUACUUUCAGCGGGGAGGCGUUACCCGCAGAAGAAGCACCGGCUAACUCCGUGCCAGCCGCCGCGGUAAUAC